GCCAGGGUGGUAUAGUGGUUUGAGCAUUGAACUACAACUCUGGAAACCAGGUUUCAAAUCCCUGCUUGGCCA